AAAUUAUUACCAGUGGUCGGAAUAGGUAGAGCUAUUUGGGGUGAAUGACCGCAAACAUUGAUAUUAACAUGGACAUGCCUCUGAAAUCCCGGGAUUUUGAAAUUGUCGAUUGAUUUAAGUGAGUUAAUAUGGGUAAGUGGGCAGUUAUGAGCAGGUAGUAGGUGAGCACCCAAACAGUAUAUACUUACUUAUAAACACACACAGGGAUCCUGGAACGUUGUUAGAGGUAGCUUCGUGAAAUAUGAAUUAAUUAAGUAAAACUGUUAGAAACGAUACUAAAUAUACUUUACUGCACAAGGAAAUAUUAAAUGCCUACACAAUACAGAAUAGAAAAAGAUAAUAUCGCUGCCACCGGCUGGAGGUACGCGACGGCUGAGGGGGAGCGCGAGGGGAGUGCUAGCGCCGGGUUUACGCGGGCAGCGGGAGGGGCGCGGGAUCGGCGGGCACGAGCGCUCGCCUGCGCCGCUGCGAGCGAGACGGCGCUUCUUUUACCACGGCGGUGACGCCGCAUUUUGUUAUUUCGUAUUUAUUGUAAUUAAUGUAAUACACAAUUGUCAAAUCAGUCUACGAGUUUUCCUGACCAGCUCCUGCUACACUAAGUUAUCGAUACAUCAAGAACAAACCAAUUUAUCUCUCUUUUAUUAUUAUAUGUUUAUGCUCCAUGUUGCCAACCCGUCGUAAGCGCUGUUUUCGUCGCUUAUUUUUUGUCUCUUUCUAUCUUAAAACGUCUAAAGUAUUAGCUGUCUCACUUAUACAAAUACAGGUACAGCGGGCUUCACUCACUCUUUUGUUUCGGCUUGUAGAGUGCGCACGUGUGAUUUAUUGUGUUCCUUAUUUUAUUUGACGUUGGCUUGUUAACCGGUUUCUGGAAUCUUACUAACACGAAUACUUUGGCUUGGAUUUACGAAUUUUGAUUUGUUUUUUGCGGACUGGAUACAUUUGAAACUGUUUAUUUGAUUUACCUACCACAUUUGGGGCGAUAAACAAGAAAAGCCAAAAAUGCCAAAUAUCAAGGAAGAAACAGUACAAAAGUGGAUAUCCGAAUAUCCAGAGCUGUUAUACGACCACGCUAGUCGUUCAAUAUAUUGCUCGAAGUGCGAGAGCCAUAUAACGGCGAAAAAAUGUAACA